rnacentral:lncRNA from 1 species
AUGUGUCUUUGUUCUUCAAUUCACAACAGUAGUGGAACUCGCCUUUAUCUGAAGAAUCAUUUUUCAUAUUUAGGAAAAAAGCUUGUGGCAACUGUCUUCUCUGAACAGCGAUCUUGUGAACAUGGGCCUCAGUACAAUAAAGAGGACACUUCACACCCUACAACCCGUAAAAAUAACCCAUGUUUGACAGAACUACACACCCAUCUGAGGCCUACUGUACCUGUUUUACUUCAUGAUCACCCCAGAUACUUCUACAGUUGACCCGCUUUGUAAGUUCUCAUAGUUACACCUUAAAAGAACACAUCAUUUUAGAAAAAAUACCUGUGUAUUUGCUGGUAUAUUACUGAGAUACCUUUAUAAAGAUUAUUGUUGAUUACAUACCUAGUUCAAUUAAAAAUGAAAAAAUGUGCCAUUUAAUCUCCCUUCUGUCAUUCUAUUCCAUAAAAAAGUCUGCAUCUUCAUGACACGAAUGAAGAUAUAUAACCCAAAUCUCUGACACCCAAGAAACCAUCAAAUCAGUCUAUAUGAAUUGAGCUGAUUAAUCUACAUUUUGAGCCAAACUGUUCAACUGUUCUUGAUCCAGAACUCUAGUCAGAACACUGAACCGUGCUGUAAGAACUACCUGGAGUGUAUGUCGCUGCUCGAGGGUUGGUCGUUGUCUUUUGCCUAGCCACCAGUUUCUCUGUAGCUGGCCAACAUGCUAUUGAGUGAAGUAAACAAGUUAAUAGUAAAAUUAAAAGUGAUAUUUAAUCUUUCAUAACAUGGGUGCUAUUUACAUCAGGUACGAUUUCUUAACUAUUGCAUUACUAAGACAAGGACUGACCACUGAUCUAUAUAUGACUAUUCUAUAUUAUAGAUCAGUGGGACUGACACAUUUAUGUUGCAUUCAAAAGAGCUCUGUUAACAGCCCAACAGUGAAAAAUUAAACUAUAUCCGUAUUGUCACAGCAUGGAAUGGUUAAGCAUUGAGAAUUAAGAAUGGUUUGGCCUGACAGUGGAAAAGCGUCUCAAGUCUUCGAAAGAGACAUGAUUGCUAUAUGAUCAACUGUCUAAAGUGUUGGGUAAAUAGACCUAUUAUAGAUCAGUGGGACUGACACAUUUAUGUUGCAUUCAAAGAGCUCUGUUAACAGCCCAACAGUGAAAAAUUAAACUAUAUCCGUAUUGUCACAGCAUGGAAUGGUUAAGCAUUGAGAAUUAAGAAUGGUUUGGCCUGACAGUGGAAAAGCGUCUCAAGUCUUCGAAAGAGACAUGAUUGCUAUAUGAUCAACUGUCUAAAGUGUUGGGUAAAUAGACCUUCAGUUAAAGGACAGAAAUUUCUCAGAUUUCACUGAAAAUGUCUUUAUUUGUGUUUCGAAAAUAAAAAAAAGGGUGAGUAAAUGAUGACAUGAAUUUCAAGUUUGGGUGAACUAACCCAAUGGCAUGCCUGUGUAGGCAGGACAGAUAACACUGAAAACUGAUCACCCUCAUUUCCCUGCUAAUACUGUUUUUAUUUGGUUUUAUACAGGUGUCUGAUGUUGAUGCAGUCUGGGCCUAUUUACAUCAGGUACGAUUUCUUAACUAUGUCAUUACUAAGACAAGGACUGACCACUGAUCUAUAUAUGACUAUUCUAUAUUAUAGAUCAGUGGGACUGACACAUUUAUGUUGCAUUCAAAAGAGCUCCGUUAACAGCCCAACAGUGAAAAAUUAAACUAUAUCCGUAUUGUCACAGCAUGGAAUGGUUAAGCAUUGAGAAUUAAGAAUGGUUUGGCCUGACAGUGGAAAAGCGGCUCAAGUCUUCGAAAGAGACACGAUUGCUAUAUGAUCAACUGUCUAAAGUGUUGGGUAAAUAGACCUUCAGUUAAAGGACAGAAAUUUCUCAGAUUUCACUGAAAAUGUCUUUAUUUGUGUUUCGAAAAUAAACAAAAGUCAUGGGUGAGUAAAUGAUGACAUGAAUUUCAAGUUUGGGUGAACUAACCCAAUGGCAUGGCAGUGUAGGCAGGACAGAUAACACUGAAAACUGAAAAAAAAAAAGAAAAAAAAACAAUUACUGACCCCAAAUUACUGACCAGUAGUGUAUAUUGUUAUUACAAAAUAUUUAUAUUUUAAAAACAAUAGUACUUUCUUUUUUUUUUUUUUCUUUUAUUCUUCUCUGCCUUCACCCUGUGUCUUCUGCCAUCAUUGUUCAGUGUAGUACUGCAAAGAACAGUCUCCAGGGUCUACCUCCAACAUUUGCUUCCGGACCGCCAUGUGCUACGUUUGGAUUACUGGUACAUGUGGAUUACCCUGAUACUGUGAAGAACACUUACAAUAUGAUGCUUGACUUGGGACAGAAAAAAAAAAAACAUUGGCAACUUGUGUGGCCAACUCAUUGCAAUACUUAAUCUCAUCGUACUGCUACCUUUGCUGUUUAGCAUAAACAAAAGCAGACUGUUUUUGCUUUGUUUCAAAAUGUUUGUAAUACAAGUUAAAACAUAUAUUAUCUUUAACUUUGAACUGUCACUACCUUUGAUUUAUGGGUAAUUAUGUGUGUGAAGAAUAGAACAUUGUUGUCAUGAAUUUGUAAUGGAUGUUUGAAGCAUUUAAGUUACUGGAGUAAUGGUAACUUGUUUUUUUUUAAGGCAACUGGUUAAAACUAGAUUGCUGUUCAAGUAAAUACAACUUAGAAAUUCCAAGUUGCAGGAACUAGAUUGCUGUUCAAGUAAAUACAACUUAGAAAUUCCAAGUUGCAGGAAAUGUUACUUGAUUUAGCUAAACUUAAAUUAGUUGUUUGAAAACUCACAUAGUAUAUUGUACUUAAUCAUUUAGUUGUUGAAAAUAGUGAUUCUGAGUUACAAGAACUUGCGUGUAAGUUUACAACACUAAAUAAACCUUUGUUAGUACAAAUUACUACACUCAAAAAAAUGAUUUUUGCUCUUUGUUCAAUUUCAUUAAUUAAAACGAGCUCA